GUCCCUGCCCUUUGUACACACCGCCCGUCGCUACUACCGAUUGAAUGGUUUAGUGAGAUCUUCGGAUUUGGGGCCGGCGCGGUCGGCAACGGCCGCGGCGGAUCUCGAGAAGUUGCUCAAAUUUGAUCAUUUAGAGGAAGUAAAAGUCGUAGCAAGGUUUCCGUAGGUGAACCUGCGGAAGGAUCAUUAGUGGGAGCUCUUCGGUGCCGUUCCCCGUGCACUCGGAUCGGCAGGGAGGGUGUAGACUGGGGCCGCCGUGGUGCCUUUCGACUCCCGUCGAGCAGUCUGCGCCGCAACUCUCCUGGCCAGGGGUUUGCCUGGGCCCUCGGUUGGUUAGGGGGGAGGCAAUUAAAGUGUUGGGUUCCUCCCUGCAGUUCACACUCCGAGGGUGUGGAUCUGCGGGGCUUCUCCCGCCCCGAACUGUUUUUGUCUUUGUUUUGGGUGGCGGUGGUAACGUUUUAAAAUGGCUAAGCCAUGACAACUUCUGACGGUGGACACCUCGGCUCGUGUACCGAUGAAGAGCGCAGCGAGCUGCGAUACCUAGUGUGAAUUGCAGAAUUCAGUGAAUCAUUGAGUCCUUGAACGCAAAUGGCGCUUUCGGUAAAGCCGGGAGCACGUCUGUCUGAGCGUCCCGUUCCAUGCGAUGGUGGUGUCCUGCGGCACGUUUGUACAUUACAGUUUGGGGUGGUCGCCUAUACUAGUGCGUUGGGCGUCCCCUGAAGUGAGCGUUAGGUGUGUGGAACCUGACAGCUGGCAGCCCGCGUCACACGGGUUUGCUUGCUGCUUUGGUUCUUUGUGGCGCUGCCUCGAGAGGUUGUGCGUGUGGACCUCAGAUCAGUCGAGAUUACCCGCUGAAUUUAAGCAUAUCAAUAAGCGGAGGAAAAGAAACUAACCAGG
rnacentral:rRNA from 1 species